rnacentral:rRNA from 1 species
GAUGAACGCUGGCGGCGUGCCUAACACCUGCAAGUCGAGCGAUCUUCUUCGGAAGAGAGCGGCGGACGGGUGAGUAACGCGUGGGUAACCUGCCCUGUACACACGGAUAACAUACCGAAAGGUAUGCUAAUACGAGAUAAUAUGCUUUUAUAGCAUGGUAGAAGUAUCAAAGUUUUUGCGGUACAGGAUGGACCCGCGUCUGAUUAGCUAGUUGGUAAGGUAACGGCUUACCAAGGCGACGAUCAGUAGCCGACCUGAGAGGGUGAUCGGCAACAUUGGAACUGAGACACGGUCCAAACUCCUACGGGAGGCAGCAGUGGGGAAUAUUGCACAAUGGGCGAAAGCCUGAUGCAGCAACGCCGCGUGAGCGAUGAAGGCCUUCGGGUCGUAAAGCUCUGCCCUCAAGGAAGAUAAUGACGGUACUUGAGGAGGAAGCCCCGGCUAACUACGUGCCAGCCGCCGCAGUAAUAC